rnacentral:pre_miRNA from 1 species
UAGGUUUGUCUUAAGUUAAACAUCUGUAGGUUUGACCAAAUUUAUGGAAAAAUAUAGCAACAUCUACAAUAUCAACUAUAUAUAGGAUGGGAGUAUAUUUUAUAAUGAAACCAAAAUGAUGUUGUAGAUGUUGGCAUAUUUUCCCAUAAACUUGGUUAAACUUAAAUGUUUGACUUGGGACAAACCUAG